ACGGGAGGCAGCAGUGGGGGAUAUUGCACAAUGGGGGAAACCCUGAUGCAGCGACGCCGCGUGAGUGAAGAAGUAUUUCGGUAUGUAAAGCUCUAUCAGCAAGGAAGAAAAUGACGGUACUUGACUAAGAAGCCCCGGCUAACUACGUGCCAGCAGCCGCGGUAAUACGUAGGGGGCAAGCGUUAUCCGGAUUUACUGGGUGUAAAGGGAGCGUAGACGGUAAGGCAAGUCUGAAGUGAAAUGCAGGGGCUCAACCCCUGAACUGCUUUGGAAACUGUCAAACUAGAGUACAGGAGAGGUAAGUGUAAUUCCUAGUGUAGCGGUGAAAUGCGUAGAUAUUAGGAGGAACACCAGUGGCGAAGGCGGCUUACUGGACUGUAACUGACGUUGAGGCUCGAAAGCGUGGGGGGCAAACAGGAUUAGAUACCCUGGUA
rnacentral:rRNA from 1 species